rnacentral:tRNA from 1 species
GCGCCGGUGGUGUAAUGGCGUAGAGCAUUCACUCCCCUCAGCAGGAGGCACGGGUUCGAAUCCCGCCUGGCGCU